UAUGCUAAGUGAUUGUUUUGUUACAAAUAGUAAAUACUGUACAAAUCUAUAAUAAAUAUUGGGUUGUUUCUGGCACUUUCUUUUUUAUAUUAUUCGGGUAAGGGUUGUAUUGUGUGUUGAUUUCACUGUUUCUUUUAGUCAUAUUUGAUAGGGAGAGCAGCAAUUGAGGUUACAAAUGAAGGUGUUGAUGCUGCAGGGCAUACAAUUGGUACAUCUUUGGAGGUCAUUUCCAACUUAGAGGAAGGUUCUCAACCCCAAGAGUACCACACCUUUAGCUAGUGAUGCUGGUUUCCUUUGCUGUGAUCAUGUCAGACUUGAGGCCCUUAGAGGGAUUUGUCAUCGUCUCAGUUUUAUUCGAUACAACAUCUUGCCCUCAUACACCUUAACAAAAUGGGGUAGCCGGACGUAAAAAUAUGCAUCUUGUAGAAACCGCUUGGACCUUAUUUCUCUUUGGUAAUGUUCCAUUCUGGUUCUGGGGAUAUUAUGCUAAUAUGGCAUGUUACCUUAUAAACCUCAUGCCCUCGUCUGUCCUUAACAACAAUAUCCCUCAUUUAAUGUUGUUGUUUCCUUAUUCCCCCUUCACCCAAUUCCUCCUCGUGUCUUCGAGUCUACAAUAUUUGUUAAAGUAAAUGCUCGUGACGGUGACGGUACGGUGAUCACCCAUGGUUCUCUUUCUCUCUCUUCCAGGUUACUCCUACCCUAUCUCAUAUCGAAACAUUGGGGACAAUGUUCGGUUUAAGUGCGGGAGGAGAUUUUUAUCGUUUUUUAUUGUUUUUCUUUAUUUUUAGUAUGUUUUGUGCAAUUUUAGUUGUUUGCUUUUCCUUUCAAUAAAAUAACAUGUGUUUGAGGAGUCAUCUGUGUAGUGUAUCCGUAUUUUUCCCAUUUCUCUAAUCUUACCAAAAAAAAUUUGUGAGCAAAGAAAACAGUGCAUCUUGAAUAUUCAGGCUAUAAGACAGGUUUAUGACGAGAUGUAAAAGACUUAGGAAAACUUUUUUUUAAAAAUCGGUAUUGUCUUAACACCGUAGGCUUCAUGAUUAUAAGAGUUGAUCCCGAUACCCCAUAUUCUGCGGUCCCAAUUUUUGUUCCAAAUAAGUCCUUAAGUAGUUUAUCCUUGCAGUCAGCUCCGACUUAAGCAUGCUCUACGUAGGGGACCGAUGAAAAUAAGUGAAUGAUCACAAAAAAAUUUCCUGCUUUGUUCUCAAGUCAUAUGAAAA